GAUGAAGAACGUAGCGAAAUGCGAUAAGUAAUGCGAAUUGCAGAAUUCAGUGAGUCAUCGAAUCUUUGAACGCACAUUGCGCCCUGUGGUAUUCCGCAGGGCAUGCCUGUUCGAGCGUCAUUUCCACCCUCAAGCUCUGCUUGGUGUUGGGCCCUGCCCGCUGCGGCCGGCCCUAAAGACAGUGGCGGUGCCGCCUGGCCCUGAGCGUAGUACAUCUCUCGCUCCAGUGCCCGGUGGUAGCCUGCCAGAACCCCAACUCUCGUGGUUGACCUCGGAUCAGGUAGGGAUACCCGCUGAACUUAAGCAUAUCAAUAAGCGGAGGA
rnacentral:misc_RNA from 1 species